CUACGGGACGCUGCAGUGAGGAAUUUUGCGCAAUGGGGGAAACCCUGACGCAGCAACGCCGCGUGAGUGAAGAAGGCCCUUGGGUCGUAAAGCUCUGUCAAUGGGGAAGAAGUUAUUAUGUGUUAAUAGCACAUUUUAUUGACGGUACCCAUGAAGGAAGCACCGGCUAACUCCGUGCCAGCAGCCGCGGUAAUACGUGGGGGUGCAAGCGUUAUUCGGAAUUAUUGGGCGUAAAGGGCACGCAGGCGGUCCUGUCAGUCAGAUGUGAAAGCCCGGGGCCAACCCCGGACGUGCAUUUGAAACAGCAGGACUUGAGUACGGGAGGGGAAAGGGGAAUUCCUGGUGUAGAGGUGAAAUGCGUAGAUAUCAGGAGGAACACCGGUGGCGAAGGCGCCUUUCUGGACCGAUACUGACGCUGAGGUGCGAAGGCGUGGGUAGCGAACGGGAUUAGAUACCCUGGUAGUC
rnacentral:rRNA from 1 species